UACAGGGGGAUGCAAACGUUGCUCGGAAUCAUUGGGCGUAAAGCGCACGUAGGCGGUUCGUUAUGUCGGAUGUGAAAGCCCUUGGCUUAACGAGGAAGUGCAUCCGAAACUGGCGAGCUAGAGUACGAAAGAGGAUCGCGGAAUUCCCGGUGUAGAGGUGAAAUUCGUAGAUAUCGGGAGGAACACCGGUGGCGAAGGCGGCGAUCUGGGUCGAUACUGACGCUGAGGUGCGAAAGCGUGGGGAGCAAACAGG
rnacentral:rRNA from 1 species